AGUGAACGCUGGCGGUAGGCCUAACACAUGCAAGUCGAACGGCAGCACAGUAAGAGCUUGCUCUUACGGGUGGCGAGUGGCGGACGGGUGAGGAAUACAUCGGAAUCUACUUUUUCGUGGGGGAUAACGUAGGGAAACUUACGCUAAUACCGCAUACGACCUACGGGUGAAAGCAGGGGAUCUUCGGACCUUGCGCGAUUGAAUGAGCCGAUGUCGGAUUAGCUAGUUGGCGGGGUAAAGGCCCACCAAGGCGACGAUCCGUAGCUGGUCUGAGAGGAUGAUCGGCCACACUGGAACUGAGACCCGGUCCAGACUCCUAAGGGAGGCAGCAGUGGGGAAUAUUGGACAAUGGGCGCAAGCCUGAUCCAGCCAUACCGCGUGGGUGAAGAAGGCCUUCGGGUUGUAAAGCCCUUUUGUUGGGAAAGAAAAGCAGCAGGUUAAUACCCCGCUGUUCUGACGGUACCCAAAGAAUAAGCACCGGCUAACUUCGUG
rnacentral:rRNA from 1 species